AGGGCGCCUACCAUGCAAGUCGAGCGAGAUCUUCGGAUCUAGCGGCGGACGGGUGAGUAACGCGUGGGAACGUACCCUCUUCUGCGGGAUAGCCACUGGAAACGGUGAGUAAUACCGCAUACGCCCUUCGGGGGAAAGAUUUAUCGGAGGAGGAUCGGCCCGCGUUGGAUUAGGUAGUUGGUGGGGUAAUGGCCUACCAAGCCUACGAUCCAUAGCUGGUUUUAGAGGAUGAUCAGCCACACUGGGACUGAGACACGGCCCAGACUCCUACGGGAGGCAGCAGUGGGGAAUCUUAGACAAUGGGCGCAAGCCUGAUCUAGCCAUGCCGCGUGAGUGACGAAGGCCUUAGGGUCGUAAAGCUCUUUCGCCUGUGAUGAUAAUGACAGUAGCAGGUAAAGAAACCCCGGCUAACUCCGUGCCAGCAGCCGCGGUAAUACGGAGGGGGUUAGCGUUGUUCGGAAUUACUGGGCGUAAAGCGCACGUAGGCGGAUUGGAAAGUAUGGGGUGAAAUCCCAGGGCUCAACCCUGGAACGGCCUCAUAAACUUCCAGUCUGGAGUUCGAGAGAGGUGAGUGGAAUUCCGAGUGUAGAGGUGAAAUUCGUAGAUAUUCGGAGGAACACCAGUGGCGAAGGCGGCUCACUGGCUCGAUACUGACGCUGAGGUGCGAAAGUGUGGGGAGCAAACAGGAUUAGAUACCCUGGUAGU
rnacentral:rRNA from 1 species